rnacentral:tRNA from 1 species
UUGCCUGUAGCUCAGUGGAAAGAGCAACCGCCUUCUAAGCGGUUUGUCGCUGGUUCGAAUCCAGCCAGGUGAGCCA